CCAGGUAAGAGUGCAGCCCAGCCAACACCUAGAUUUCAGCUUUGGGAAGCCCUAAGCAGAGAAUGCUGCUGGGCCACACUGUGCCUGGACUUCUGAUCCAUGCUUACUGAUUGAGCGUUUAUAGGCAUCCAGCAAUCAAUAAGAGUUCAAGAGCGAGAUAAGCUGAGAUAUAGAAAAUAAUGGUGAAGCUUUGGCCUGUGGCUCCUGUCUGCCCUCUCAACUCCAAGCCUGCC